rnacentral:rRNA from 1 species
ACGGAAGGCAGCAGUGAGGAAUAUUGGUCAAUGGGCGGAAGCCUGAACCAGCCAAGUCGCGUGAAGGAAGACGGUAUUAUGUAUUGUAAACUUCUUUAGACGCAGAGAAAUAAGGGGCUCGCGAGCUCUGAUGCUAGUAUGCGUAGAAUAAGGAUCGGCUAACUCCGUGCCAGCAGCCGCGGUAAUACGGAGGAUCCGAGCGUUAUCCGGAUUUAUUGGGUUUAAAGGGUGCGCAGGCGGCGCUUUAAGUCAGUGGUCAAAUCGUGAGGCUCAACCUCAUCCCGCCAUUGAUACUGGAGCGCUUGAUUGCGGUUGAGGUAGGCGGAAUUCGUCGUGUAGCGGUGAAAUGCAUAGAUAUGACGAAGAACACCGAUUGCGUAGGCAGCUUACCAGACCGUAAAUGACGCUCAUGCACGAAAGUGCGGGGAUCGAACAGGAUUAGAUACCCUGGUA